GACGAACGCUGGCGGCGUGCCUAAUACAUGCAAGUAGAACGCUGAAGAGAGGAGCUUACUCUUCUUGGAUGAGUUGCGAACGGGUGAGUAACGCGUAGGUAACCUGCCUUGUAGCGGGGGAUAACUAUUGGAAACGAUAGCUAAUACCGCAUAACAAUGGAUGACACAUGUCAUUUAUUUGAAAGGGGCAAUUGCUCCACUACAAGAUGGACCUGCGUUGUAUUAGCUAGUAGGUGAGGUAAUGGCUCACCUAGGCGACGAUACAUAGCCGACCUGAGAGGGUGAUCAGCCACACUGGGACUGAGACACGGCCCAGACUCCUACGGGAGGCAGCAGGAGGGAAUCUUCGGCAAUGGGGGCAACCCUGACCGAGCAACGCCGCGUGAGUGAAGAAGGUUUUCGGAUCGUAAAGCUCUGUUGUAAGUCAAGAACGGGUGUGAGAGUGGAAAGUUCACACUGUGACGGUAGCUUACCAGAAAGGGACGGCUAACUACGUG
rnacentral:rRNA from 1 species